GGGUUGUGAGGUUAAGCGACUAAGCGUACACGGUGGAUGCCCUGGCAGUCAGAGGCGAUGAAGGACGUGCUAAUCUGCGAUAAGCGUCGGUAAGGUGAUAUGAACCGUUAUAACCGGCGAUUUCCGAAUGGGGAAACCCAGUGUGAUUCGUCACACUAUCAUUAACUGAAUCCAUAGGUUAAUGAGGCGAACCGGGGGAACUGAAACAUCUAAGUACCCCGAGGAAAAGAAAUCAACCGAGAUUCCCCCAGUAGCGGCGAGCGAACGGGGAGCAGCCCAGAGCCUGAAUCAGUAUGUGUGUUAGUGGAAGCGUCUGGAAAGGCGUGCGAUACAGGGUGACAGCCCCGUACACAAAAAUGCACAUGCUGUGAGCUCGAUGAGUAGGGCGGGACACGUGGUAUCCUGUCUGAAUAUGGGGGGACCAUCCUCCAAGGCUAAAUACUCCUGACUGACCGAUAGUGAACCAGUACCGUGAGGGAAAGGCGAAAAGAACCCCGGCGAGGGGAGUGAAAAAGAACCUGAAACCGUGUACGUACAAGCAGUGGGAGCCUCUUUAAUGGGGUGACUGCGUACCUUUUGUAUAAUGGGUCAGCGACUUAUAUUCUGUAGCAAGGUUAACCGAAUAGGGGAGCCGAAGGGAAACCGAGUCUUAACUGGGCGUUAAGUUGCAGGGUAUAGACCCGAAACCCGGUGAUCUAGCCAUGGGCAGGUUGAAGGUUGGGUAACACUAACUGGAGGACCGAACCGACUAAUGUUGAAAAAUUAGCGGAUGACUUGUGGCUGGGGGUGAAAGGCCAAUCAAACCGGGAGAUAGCUGGUUCUCCCCGAAAGCUAUUUAGGUAGCGCCUCGUGAAUUCAUCUCCGGGGGUAGAGCACUGUUUCGGCAAGGGGGUCAUCCCGACUUACCAACCCGAUGCAAACUGCGAAUACCGGAGAAUGUUAUCACGGGAGACACACGGCGGGUGCUAACGUCCGUCGUGAAGAGGGAAACAACCCAGACCGCCAGCUAAGGUCCCAAAGUCAUGGUUAAGUGGGAAACGAUGUGGGAAGGCCCAGACAGCCAGGAUGUUGGCUUAGAAGCAGCCAUCAUUUAAAGAAAGCGUAAUAGCUCACUGGUCGAGUCGGCCUGCGCGGAAGAUGUAACGGGGCUAAACCAUGCACCGAAGCUGCGGCAGCGACACUAUGUGUUGUUGGGUAGGGGAGCGUUCUGUAAGCCGUUGAAGGUGUGCUGUGAGGCAUGCUGGAGGUAUCAGAAGUGCGAAUGCUGACAUAAGUAACGAUAAAGCGGGUGAAAAGCCCGCUCGCCGGAAGACCAAGGGUUCCUGUCCAACGUUAAUCGGGGCAGGGUGAGUCGACCCCUAAGGCGAGGCCGAAAGGCGUAGUCGAUGGGAAACAGGUUAAUAUUCCUGUACUUGGUGUUACUGCGAAGGGGGGACGGAGAAGGCUAUGUUGGCCGGGCGACGGUUGUCCCGGUUUAAGCGUGUAGGCUGAUUUUCCAGGCAAAUCCGGAGAAUCAAGGCUGAGGCGUGAUGACGAGGCACUACGGUGCUGAAGCAACAAAUGCCCUGCUUCCAGGAAAAGCCUCUAAGCAUCAGGUAACAUCAAAUCGUACCCCAAACCGACACAGGUGGUCAGGUAGAGAAUACCAAGGCGCUUGAGAGAACUCGGGUGAAGGAACUAGGCAAAAUGGUGCCGUAACUUCGGGAGAAGGCACGCUGAUAUGUAGGUGAAGCGACUUGCUCGUGGAGCUGAAAUCAGUCGAAGAUACCAGCUGGCUGCAACUGUUUAUUAAAAACACAGCACUGUGCAAACACGAAAGUGGACGUAUACGGUGUGACGCCUGCCCGGUGCCGGAAGGUUAAUUGAUGGGGUCAGCCGCAAGGCGAAGCUCUUGAUCGAAGCCCCGGUAAACGGCGGCCGUAACUAUAACGGUCCUAAGGUAGCGAAAUUCCUUGUCGGGUAAGUUCCGACCUGCACGAAUGGCGUAAUGAUGGCCAGGCUGUCUCCACCCGAGACUCAGUGAAAUUGAACUCGCUGUGAAGAUGCAGUGUACCCGCGGCAAGACGGAAAGACCCCGUGAACCUUUACUAUAGCUUGACACUGAACAUUGAGCCUUGAUGUGUAGGAUAGGUGGGAGGCUUUGAAGUGUGGACGCCAGUCUGCAUGGAGCCGACCUUGAAAUACCACCCUUUAAUGUUUGAUGUUCUAACGUGGACCCGUGAUCCGGGUUGCGGACAGUGUCUGGUGGGUAGUUUGACUGGGGCGGUCUCCUCCUAAAGAGUAACGGAGGAGCACGAAGGUUGGCUAAUCCUGGUCGGACAUCAGGAGGUUAGUGCAAUGGCAUAAGCCAGCUUGACUGCGAGCGUGACGGCGCGAGCAGGUGCGAAAGCAGGUCAUAGUGAUCCGGUGGUUCUGAAUGGAAGGGCCAUCGCUCAACGGAUAAAAGGUACUCCGGGGAUAACAGGCUGAUACCGCCCAAGAGUUCAUAUCGACGGCGGUGUUUGGCACCUCGAUGUCGGCUCAUCACAUCCUGGGGCUGAAGUAGGUCCCAAGGGUAUGGCUGUUCGCCAUUUAAAGUGGUACGCGAGCUGGGUUUAGAACGUCGUGAGACAGUUCGGUCCCUAUCUGCCGUGGGCGCUGGAGAACUGAGGGGGGCUGCUCCUAGUACGAGAGGACCGGAGUGGACGCAUCACUGGUGUUCGGGUUGUCAUGCCAAUGGCACUGCCCGGUAGCUAAAUGCGGAAGAGAUAAGUGCUGAAAGCAUCUAAGCACGAAACUUGCCCCGAGAUGAGUUCUCCCUGAGACUUUAAGUCUCCUGAAGGAACGUUGAAGACGACGACGUUGAUAGGCCGGGUGUGUAAGCGCAGCGAUGCGUUGAGCUAACCGGUACUAAUGAACCGUGAGGCUUAACCUUACAACGCCGAAG
rnacentral:rRNA from 1 species